UACGAAGGGUGCAAGCGUUAUUCGGAAUUACUGGGCGUAAAGGGUGCGUAGGCGGUUCGUUAAGUCUGUUGUGAAAUCCCCGGGCUCAACCUGGGAAUGGCAAUGGAUACUGGCUAGCUAGAGUGUGUCAGAGGAUGGUGGAAUUCCCGGUGUAGCGGUGAAAUGCGUAGAGAUCGGGAGGAACAUCAGUGGCGAAGGCGGCCAUCUGGGACAACACUGACGCUGAAGCACGAAAGCGUGGGGAGCAAACAGG
rnacentral:rRNA from 1 species